rnacentral:lncRNA from 1 species
UCCAAGGCAAACACUUCCAACUCUCCAUUGCUCAAUUUGAUGAUGCCUCGGGGUUCUCUGAACGGGAGGCAAAACACCCAUAAUGCAAUUUCUGCGAGGAAUUUAAUGCAGCCACCGUCUAUGAUGAACUAUGCAUCAACCAUUUAGACGCAUAUGACCCUAGCAAGUCAAAAGACCUUUACUUGCAUGACCCAUGCAUGAAAUACAUUCACCAUUUUUUGGCUUAUUCUUUUUCAGGACGUAGAGACGCAUAAAACAUCAUCUCCAGAACAGAGCUGUAUUUCCUUUGGUGCAUGUCACAACGAUGUUGAGUGAACCUGGGUUAUUAGUUCAUGUCAUAGUUAACCAAUGUUAUCUCCUAUUGGUAGCUUUUAAUCCUGGGUUCAAUCAUCACCAGAAUCGCUGCCUUCACCACUUGGUUUGACGGUGAUGAGACAGACCUACAUAUCACUUGCCCUCAAACACCUUUGGAUCUUAAGUCUUUGGAUGACAUGGGCCUCCUGGAAUUGAAAGACGGCCUCCCCUGUUUUACCCCACUUGGGCCUCUUGUGCCACAGGACAAAAGAAUCUACAACAAGUAGUUCAAGCGCCAAACACGGAGCUGGUGGCCACGGGAUAAAAGAAUCUACAACAAGAAGUUCAAGUGCCAAACACAGGCUACACCAGCUCCUUCACCGCCUAACUUCAAAGAAUUCAUGGACCACACUGUGCAUAUCUGCAUGAUAGAUGACACGUUGGACAACAUGGAGUGCUCUUUGAGGGAACUGAACGAGAAAGUCAACGCCCUGACACAAUUAAUCACCCAAACCAGGCACUCAAACACAUGAACUUGCAAUAGAUGAACACAAGGGGAGUCUCCUUCACUUUACUCUAGUUUUUUUUGCCAUUUUAUCUUUUGUUCUAAUUUUUGUUUGUUCAUUGCCUUCUCCUAACCUCGCAACACAUUGGGGACAAUGUAUAGUUUAAUUGUAG